rnacentral:rRNA from 1 species
AUAUCAAUAAGCGGAGGAAAAGAAACCAACAGGGAUUGCCUCAGUAACGGCGAGUGAAGCGGCAACAGCUCAGAUUUGAAAUCCGGCCCUAGGCCCGAGUUGUAAUCUGUAGAGGAUGCUUUUGGUUAGGUGCCUUCCGAGUUCCCUGGAACGGGACGCCACAGAGGGUGAGAGUCCCGCAUGUGACUGGUAGCUUUCGCCCGUGUAAAGCUCUUUCGACGAGUCGAGUUGUUUGGGAAUGCAGCUCAAAAUGGGUGGUAAAUACCAUCUAAAGCUAAAUAUUGGCGAGAGACCGAUAGCGCACAAGUA